rnacentral:rRNA from 1 species
GAUGAACGCUGGCGGCGUGCCUAAUACAUGCAAGUCGAGCGAACGGACGAGAAGCUUGCUUCUCUGAUGUUAGCGGCGGACGGGUGAGUAACACGUGGAUAACCUACCUAUAAGACUGGGAUAACUUCGGGAAACCGGAGCUAAUACCGGAUGAUAUUUUGAACCGCAUGGUUCAAAAGUGAAAGACGGUCUUGCUGUCACUUAUAGCUGGAUCCGCGCUGCAUUAGCUAGUUGGUAAGGUAACGGCUUACCAAGGCAACGAUGCAUAGACGACGUGAGAGGGUGAUCGGCCACACGGGAACGGAGACACGGUCCAUACUCCUACGGGAGGCAGCAGUAGGGAAUCUUCCGCAAUGGGCGAAAGCCUGACGGAGCAACGCCGCGUGAGUGAUGAAGGUCUUCGGAUCGUAAAACUCUGUUAUUAGGGAAGAACAUAUGUGGAAGUAACUGUGCACAGCUUGACGGUACCUAAUCAGAAAGCCACGGCUAACUACGUG